rnacentral:rRNA from 1 species
GGCUCAGGAUGAACGCUAGCGACAGGCCUAACACAUGCAAGUCAGGGGCAGCACAAGGAGCAAUCUGAGGUGGCGACCGGCGCACGGGUGAGUAACACGUAUGCAACCUGCCUGUAAGCGGGGAAUAACCCGUUGAAAGACGGACUAAUACCGCAUAAUACUAAAUUACUGCAUGGUAAUUUAUUUAAACAUUUAUGGCUUACAGAUGGGCAUGCGCAUGAUUAGCUAGUUGGAGAGGUAACGGCUCCCCAAGGCAACGAUCAUUAGGGGUUCUGAGAGGAAGGUCCCCCCACACUGGUACUGAGACACGGACCACGACUCCUACGGGAGGCAGCAGUGAGGAAUAUUGGUCAAUGGACGAGAGUCUGAACCAGCCAAGUCGCGUGCAGGAAGAAUUGUCCUAUGGAUUGUAAACUGCUUUUGCGAGGGGAAUAAAGUGCAUCACGUGUGAUGUUUUGUAUGUACUCUGCGAAUAAGGAUCGGCUAACUCCGUGCCAGCCGCCGC